rnacentral:sRNA from 1 species
GUGUUUCCGGGCGGAAGUGAGGCGCCGAGCGGAACGGCCUCUGGUGACAUUUUCUUGGGGGCGGCUCGGACGACUGAAGGGACUUGGUGGUAGAGGCUGCGGAGGCGGCGAGGUUCACUUUGGUCCCGGCAGGGGCUCUGACCGCGACCCUCUGCUCGCCGCCGGGGCUUGUUCCGAGGAGGAGAAGGCGGCGGUGGCCGUCGCGUCCUGAGUCACCGCAGCGGGGACAGUCCCGGCCGGGGGUUCGGUGCGUGCCCCGACGGGGCGCGCGCGGAUCGAGCGAGGAGGCACGGAGUCGCCGCGGAGCGCAGGUUGCUUUCCUGUUGCAUCUUUGAUAUCAUUUCCUAGACUCUACUCCAUGAUUUAACUUGAAAUUCUGAAAUGAAGAUGGAGGAGGCAGUGGGAAAAGUAGAAGAACUCAUUGAGUCCGAAGCCCCACCAAAAGCAUCUGAACAAGAGACAGCCAAGGAGGAAGAUGGAUCUGUAGAACUGGAAUCUCAAGUUCAGAAAGAUGGUGUAGCGGAUUCUACAGUUAUUUCUUCAAUGCCCUGCUUGUUGAUGGAACUGAGAAGGGACUCUUCUGAGUCUCAGUUAGCAUCCACAGAGAGUGACAAGCCUACAACUGGCCGAGUUUAUGAGAGUGACUCCUCUAAUCACUGCAUGCUUUCCCCUUCCUCUAGUGGUCACCUGGCUGAUUCAGAUACGUUGUCUUCCGCAGAAGAGAAUGAACCCUCUCAGGCAGAAACGGCGGUAGAAGGAGACCCUUCAGGAGUGUCUGGUGCCACAGUUGGGCGCAAGUCUAGGCGGUCCCGAUCUGAAAGUGAAACAUCCACUAUGGCUGCCAAGAAAAACCGGCAAUCCAGUGAUAAACAGAAUGGCCGAGUCGCCAAGGUUAAAGGUCAUCGGAGCCAAAAGCACAAGGAGAGGAUCAGGCUACUGAGGCAGAAACGGGAGGCUGCUGCAAGGAAGAAAUAUAACCUGCUGCAGGACAGUAGUACCAGUGAUAGUGACCUGACUUGUGACUCAAGCACGAGCUCAUCAGAUGAUGAUGAAGAGGUUUCAGGGAGCAGCAAGACAAUCACUGCAGAGAUACCAGGUAGAGGAUGUUUUUUAAACUGACUGUAAAGUACCUGAUGGCAUUUCUCAGCUGUCAGGUUCAGUUAGAUGAGUGACACUUCAAAAAAUCCAGGAGACCUGCAGCUCUGUGUAAAUUUGAAGACUGCAGUCUAUUAACAAGACAUGGCCAAUUUAUAAAACCUGUUCUGAGGUUUCCAGUGCACUUUAGCACAUCAGGAAAAAAAAAAUUAAAUGGUUAAUGAUAGGGACAAGAUUAUUUUUAAGUAAUGGAAUUUCUCAUAAGUCUGUCUGUAACACAUUACCUGAACUCCCAAUCAUUGCCUUUUUGGCACUGCUUAGAUUUAAUACUCACUGUUCAGCAUCAUUACUGAGUACAUUCUCCUCAGGAAUAGGUACCUUGCUUUAUUAUAUAGCCACUGCACUCGAGCUUAUAGUGUCUGAAAUAACACAUUCUAUCUUUUGUUAAAGUUUUCUAAUAAUUUUUCCUCCAAAAACAGUAGUUUUAUGUUUUCCCCCAUAUUCAAUGCAUGAGAAGCUAGUUAUCCUUGUUACAAAUCUUUCUAUCCUCACGUUGAAAAGAAUGUCUUUCUGAAAAAUUUCCCAUUAGUUCCCCAAGUUUUAAAAAAGUUUGUUAAAAAUCUGCUUGUUCUAGCUCUCAUUGGUAUAAGGGUCUGUAAUUUAUUACAUAUUUGGUAAAUCUGCUUUCCCCAUUAUUAUUGCAUCUGGUACUGUGUACUAUAAUACAAAGGCAGUCUUGAGAUUUCAUAGUGGAAGAUAGAUGUAUCUGAAUGGUUCUUAAGUAGUGAAUUCUUAUUAUCCAAGAGAUCCUUGCAAUAUGAUCAGGAACAUUUUGUAAACUGUAUGGCAUUGAAUAGGUCAUGGCAGUAUUGUUUAUUGCCACAUUGAAGAGGGGCAAGUUCGGGUUUUCUAAAGUUUUAUGGGUGACUAUGUUUUUUUUCUCUCUUGUUCUCUGAAAGCUUUCUGUUUCUACAUGUGAAGACAGCAUAUUGCUGAUAUACAAAGAAUAUUUCAAGAGAAAUCAUAUUGGUUAAUGAAAUCUAUCUAUAGCUUCCCAAACUUAUAUAAAUUCAGUAACAAGAAUGAUUGGUUUUAAAGCACUUUAUAGGUGUUCAAGUUCUGAUAAUAAGUCUUGUUCAUAUAAUAUAAAUGAGUCUCAGACGAUCUUUAGAAAUGCUUUUUACUGUUUUAAUAUCUCUAUUGGAUUCCUUUGCUAUUGUUCCUUAUAAUAAAACUACCGGGAGGGGGAUUUCAAUGAAGCUCAUCAGUUAAAUGCAUGAGAGAAACAGACUUUGGGGUUGUUCUAAGGCAGGUUUUAGGUAUAUAUUUUAGUUUUACAUGUAAUAAUAUUUUUAAGAAAGCCUUAUUAAUACCUGUAAAAUUGUGCAUUCCUGUAUCCUGUUCUAACCUCUUAAUCAAGACCUUGAUGGAACUCUUAAUACAAUAUUUAAUUCCACUUACUAAACAGGAUUUUAUGUAACUACCCCAAUACUUUGCCUUUUUAUGGAAAGGAAGAAGGUGGGUAAACAAAAUUCUCUUUAAAGUCAGAACCCUAUUGUAAGGUGGCUUGAGAAAUGUCUUCAUAGGCACUUUCCCUGUUUUGCUUAAAUACGUUAGAUGUGCUUUGUUCAUAUUUUCCUAAUCUUCUUUCUAAUUGAGUAUCUUGACUACUGCUUAAAACUUAAAACACCAGUGGUCUGUUUCUUGUCUCUUCUGAAUUGUGUACUAACUGAACACCAAAGUAAAUUAAUUUGAAUCUAUAGUUUGGUUUCUAUUGUUCACACCAUUUAGUAACUUUGUGGCUUUUGAAAAUACACAUAGUUUUCUAAGGUAAUCCUGGAGAAUCAAAUGGUAGAUUGAGGUACAGGGUCACUGUAUGUGACUGCCUGUGUGUGUGCUGGCAGUUUUGGGAGAUGCCAUUCCCAUAAGACAGGUAUGAAUGAUCUUUACUGGAAUUAUGCAAAGCAGCAAAAAUGGAACAACCUAGAGUCAAAUAUUAGGAAUUUCAUUUCAAUUGUCCAUAUUGUUGUCUCUUGAAAAAUUGUGACAUUGUGAAUUUUUAAUGUAACAGUGAUGUAUCUUUCAGUUUCCUGAGUCACCUUAUGACUUUGGGGAAGAGAGGAGGCACACUCAACCUUAUAGUAAGAGCAGUUGUCGAAAAGUUGCAUAAAUUGUAAAGGUAGGAUAAAUUAUGAACUGACUUGAGUUCAACAACAUGGACAUUCAGGUGAACUUAAGCUGGAUGGGCCUAACAGAAUCUCUUGGAUGUCGGAAUGUUAAUUCAGCUGUUUACACAGAAUGGAAACCAAGUGGAAAAGUAAAAACUGAUUAUUGCCAUACUCUUUCAUUAAGGUACAGCCAAUUUAGUAAUUCAGAAAAUGCUCUUUAUAAGCUUUUGUUUGGGCUCAGCUUAAAAGUUGAAGGCAUUACCCUAAAUAAUUCCUGUUAGGAUAUCCUAAUACCUUAAUCUUAAAUGUUAUCUUAUGCCAAAUAAUUGUAACUGUUAAUGCAUUUUCUUUUAGAGAGUACAAAUAAUUAAUAAUGCAGACCAGUGUAGUGCAUGAUCAUACUUUAAUUGAGUUUGAUAUCUGGGCAACAGAUGUUUAUGACGAUUUUUUAAAGUCAGCAGUUACUGACAGGCAGCU